rnacentral:rRNA from 1 species
AUGGAUGUUUGUAAAUUAUUUGUUUCCACUCUUGUACAAAAAAGGGCAGGGUCUGAUAUGCAUAUGCCAUCCCUUCACGUUGAGAACGAUUCUGAGGCACCACCGGCGCCGGAGGACUACAUCGAUGCUGGCUCUGUUGGAAGUUUCGCAAGGUUCAUAAACCACAGCUGCAACCGUAACCUCUUCGCCCAGUGUGUCCUAACAAAUCACCACGACGUCAAGCUACAAAAGGUAGCACCUGACAUCAACAGCUAUGACAUCAGGAACUCCCUCGCAGUUGUCGAAUACCUCGCUGAAAUUUAUAGCUUCUACAGACGAACCAAGGUAAUUAUCUGCUUGGAACCCCGUGGAAGUUAUUUACAGAGUUCUGACCUUGUAUGGCAAUAA